AUUUGAUGAUGAGGACAAGUAGCACAAAACUUGUUGAAUCUCUCCUAGUAUUCAUAUAGUGUCUCUCCAUGUUGUUGCCUAAUGCCACAAAUCUCCUUCCAAAUU
rfam:Cajanus cajan chromosome 2, whole genome shotgun sequence.